ACGGGUGAGUAACGCGUGGGAAUCUACCGUGCCCUGCGGAAUAGCUCCGGGAAACUGGAAUUGAUACCGCAUACGCCCUACGGGGGAAAGAUUUAUCGGGGUAUGAUGAGCCCGCGUUGGAUUAGCUAGUUGGUGGGGUAAAGGCCUACCAAGGCGACGAUCCAUAGCUGGUCUGAGAGGAUGAUCAGCCACAUUGGGACUGAGACACGGCCCAAACUCCUACGGGAGGCAGCAGUGGGGAAUAUUGGACAAUGGGCGCAAGCCUGAUCCAGCCAUGCCGCGUGAGUGAUGAAGGCCUUAGGGUUGUAAAGCUCUUUCACCGGAGAAGAUAAUGACGGUAUCCGGAGAAGAAGCCCCGGCUAACUUCGUGCCAGCAGCCGCGGUAAUACGAAGGGGGCUAGCGUUGUUCGGAAUUACUGGGCGUAAAGCGCACGUAGGCGGAUAUUUAAGUCAGGGGUGAAAUCCCAGAGCUCAACUCUGGAACUGCCUUUGAUACUGGGUAUCUUGAGUAUGGAAGAGGUAAGUGGAAUUCCGAGUGUAGAGGUGAAAUUCGUAGA
rnacentral:rRNA from 1 species